UACAGAGGGGGCAAGCGUUAUUCGGAAUUCUUGGGCGUAAAGGGCGCGUAGGCGGCUUGGCAAGUGGAUGGUGAAAUCCCUCGGCUUAACCGAGGAACUGCCGUCCAAACUGCUUUGCUUGAGACCGGGAGAGGUGAGUGGAAUUCCCAGUGUAGCGGUGAAAUGCGUAGAUAUUGGGAGGAACACCAGUGGCGAAGGCGGCUCACUGGACCGGUACUGACGCUGAGGCGCGAAAGCGUGGGGAGCAAACGGG
rnacentral:rRNA from 1 species